UCAUACUUUGGGAAAAAAUGGUCUAAAGCAGGUAGCCAAGGCCUUUCCCAUAAAUUAUUUCCUUAGUCUUCCAGCAACUGACACACAUCUAGAGACCUCAGCCUCCCCACAUUACCAAGCCACCCACUUGCUCUACACCAACGAAGCCCUAUCUCACAGCUCCCUCCUCAGGUGGCAAUAGGUCACUCAGGGCCCUCCUCCUCCACCAGACACAGUGGGACCUAAGCACAGACCCCAGAGGCUACAUCCUGGGAUAAAGAGAUCCUGUUCCCUACUUCCUUUAGACUUCACCCAGCAGCCCCAUUCCAUCUGAACAGGAAUCAUAAUGGAAAGAAGUUAGGACUGAAGGAGAAAGCAGACACUAUGAAGGCUCAUGAAGGAGACGGACUUCAGAUUCAGACAAACCAGGUUUGACGCCUGCUUCUGUAACAUGCUAGCUGUGUGAUCUAAGACAAGCGACUCACCUUCUCUGAUCCUUAGUCCCUCAUGGGAAUUACAGUAUCAUCUACGGCACAGACUGCUUAUAAGGAUCUAACUUUAUUCGGACAAAUUUUUAGCACAGUUUAGCAACUUGAUAAAUGAUUGCUACUAUUACUAAUUAUUA